GACGAACGCUGGCGGCGUGCUUAACACAUGCAAGUCGAACGGAAAGGCCUUUUCGGAGGUACUCGAGUGGCGAACGGGUGAGUAACACGUGGGUGAUCUGCCCUGCACUCUGGGAUAAGCCUGGGAAACUGGGUCUAAUACCGGAUAGGACCGCACUUUAGUGUGUGUGGUGGAAAGUUUUUUCGGUGUAGGAUGAGCCCGCGGCCUAUCAGCUUGUUGGUGGGGUAAUGGCCUACCAAGGCGGCGACGGGUAGCCGGACUGAGAGGUUGGUCGGCCACAUUGGGACUGAGAUACGGCCCAGACUCCUACGGGAGGCAGCAGUGGGGAAUAUUGCACAAUGGGCGCAAGCCUGAUGCAGCGACGCCGCGGGGGGGAUGACGGCCUUCGGGUUGUAAACGCCUUUCGCCAGGGACGAAGCGUUUUGUGACGGUACCUGGAGAAGAAGCACCGGCUAACUACGUG
rnacentral:rRNA from 1 species